UACGGAGGAUCCAAGCGUUAUCCGGAAUCAUUGGGUUUAAAGGGUCCGUAGGCGGUUUGGUAAGUCAGUGGUGAAAGCCCAUCGCUCAACGGUGGAACGGCCAUUGAUACUGCCAGACUUGAAUUAUUAGGAAGUAACUAGAAUAUGUAGUGUAGCGGUGAAAUGCUUAGAGAUUACAUGGAAUACCAAUUGCGAAGGCAGGUUACUACUAAUGGAUUGACGCUGAUGGACGAAAGCGUGGGGAGCGAACAGG
rnacentral:rRNA from 1 species